rnacentral:lncRNA from 10 species
GAGUCUAUAGAGUUCUAGGAUUAAGGUUAAAGGCCUCCUUUUUUCUCUCUUGGACCUUCAGGCGCCCCCUUGGGUCUCUUCCAAGCAAAUUUUCGUUUCUUUCCUUUUCCAAAGCCUUUUAAAAUAAACUUCCACUCCUGCUCUGAAACUUGCCUCGGUCUCUUUUCCUGCUUUAUGCACCUCAGUCGAAUUCUUUCUCCUGAGGAAGCAAGAGCUGAAGUUCCUGUGGGCUCCUGUGGAUGCCGCGGAAAACUCAGGGUAUCUCAGAUCUCUGCUGCCACUAACACUGAAGAGACCAUCAAGCUUCAGAUGAUCGUGCAACAAAGGUUCCAGCCAGUUCUAGGUGAAGACACCACUGCUGGCCAUGAAAGAGCUACCCUGCCUCCACUAGACAGAGCAGGGAACACCAGGUGAUGGUGCAGAUUGAGCUGUAGACUCACCUAGACAAAUACCCCCUUGGGGUUCACUUCCUACCCAAGAAGCUGGAUGAGGCAGUGGCUGAAGUCCACCUGCACAGGCUAAAUGUGAAGUUGACCAAGCUGACUGAGAAGCAGGCCCAGUACCUGGGCAUGUCCUGUGAUGGCCCCUUCAAACUGGAUGACUACCACUACUGAGAACCAGGCCUGCCCUUCACCUACCAGCUGCUGUCCUUGCCCUGGCCCUGCCUCCCCUAAGAGCAAAUGACACCAACUUUGUGAUUGUUUUCAGUGUCCCCCAUUGACUCCCUGGGGCUGGUCACUUAGGUUUUGGCCUCUACUGCAUCCCUCAUACUGUUGCAAGUGUGGCAGGGGGAAUUGAAAAGCCCCCCCCCCCUCAAGCUCUGGUCAUGAUGAAGGUACAAGGGAGACAUCCACAGGGAACCAUGAGCUCAGUGGUCUUGGAAUUGCUCACUAAGUCAGUCCUUCCUUAGCCUGGAAGUUGGUCAUGGAGUCACAAAGCCCAUGUACUUUACCAUCUAGGCCUUCACCUGGUCUGUGGACUUACACCCGUGUGCUUGGUUUACUGGUUCAGUAGUUCCUCAGACCAUGACAAAUGGAAGGAGCUAUACUGAAGAACAAUGAGGAACUCUUUGAAUUUUCCUGAGCACGUGACUUACUGCUGGGCCUUCCCUUAAACAUCAGAACAAUGAGAUUUGUCCCUAUUUUACAGGGGUUAGAAUAGACUAUUAAGGGACAACUGAGAAAGGACAGAGAAGUGACAGCCAGAGGUUGAGAGGGGCCAUAAAAACAUACAAUCAGACAUAUAUCUGCUACCACUUUGUAGCAAGAUGGUUCCUAUCAUAACUCUGGGUCAAAAAGAUAGUAAUUUGGUUUAUAAUGUUGAAAGAAAGCAGAAAGGGACAGAAGAUGCUCCAGCAUUUGAGGAGAUGAGGAGUGUGGCCGAUUCUACAUGACCUGUUCAUCUCAGUAGUUCUAGCUGAAAUAAAAACUUUAUGUUGACUAUGGCACAUUGCCUCAUUAGUCUUUGGGGUUUGACAGGUGAUCUCUUUCUUUCUGUUUGUUGUUGUUGUUGUUGUUGUUGUUUUUUAAGAGAUGGAGUUUCGCUCUUGUCCAGGCUGGAGUGCCGUGACG